UAAUACGAAGGGGGCUAGCGUUGUUCGGAUUUACUGGGCGUAAAGCGCACGUAGGCGGCCUGUUAAGUCAGGGGUGAAAUCCUGGAGCUCAACUCCAGAACUGCCCUUGAUACUGGCAGGCUCGAGUAUGGAAGAGGUUGGUGGAACUGCGAGUGUAGAGGUGAAAUUCGUAGAUAUUCGCAAGAACACCAGUGGCGAAGGCGGCCAACUGGUCCAUUACUGACGCUGAGGUGCGAAAGCGUGGGGAGCAAACAGG
rnacentral:rRNA from 1 species